GUUUUCUGGUUUUUCUGUUAUUGCAGAGCUUUUUGUUGUCAGUGGUCAUUUUUGUCUGAACAUUAUCACGAACUGCUUUAUCAUUGUUGUAAUAAUUUCUGACACAAUGCAGGAGAAGAAUGUAAGGCUAACUUUGUCCACAAUAGUGGUUGAAAUAAUAUGUCAAGAUUUGUUAACUCGUGCAGUAAACUCAUCACAUAAACCAGGAUAUAUUUUUUUUUAUUUACGCCAGACGAGCAUUCC
rnacentral:lncRNA from 1 species